GAUGAACGCUGGCGGCGUGCUUAACACAUGCAAGUCGAGCGGUGAAGCAGGAGCUUGCUCCUGUGGAUCAGUGGCGAACGGGUGAGUAACACGUGAGCAAUCUGCCCUGGACUCUGGGAUAAGCGUUGGAAACGACGUCUAAUACCGGAUACGAGGCGUGGGGGCAUCCCCAACGCCUGGAAAGAACUUCGGUCCAGGAUGAGCUCGCGGCCUAUCAGGUAGUUGGUGAGGUAACGGCUCACCAAGCCGACGACGGGUAGCCGGCCUGCGAGGGUGACCGGCCACACUGGGACUGAGAUACGGCCCAGACUCCUACGGGGGGCAGCAGUGGGGAAUAUUGCACAAUGGGCGCAAGCCUGAUGCAGCAACGCCGCGUGAGGGACGACGGCCUUCGGGUUGUAAACCUCUUUUAGCAGGGAAGAAGCGAAAGUGACGGUACCUGCAGAAAAAGCACCGGCUAACUACGUGCCAGCCGCCGCCGUAAGAC
rnacentral:rRNA from 1 species